rnacentral:rRNA from 1 species
UACAGAGGGGGCAAGCGUUGUUCGGAAUUACUGGGCGUAAAGGGCGCGUAGGCGGCCUGUUAAGUCGAACGUGAAAUCCCCGAGCUCAACUCGGGAACUGCGUCCGAUACUGGCGGGCUUGAAUCCGGGAGAGGGAUGCGGAAUUCCAGGUGUAGCGGUGAAAUGCGUAGAUAUCGGAAGGAACAUCAGUGGCGAAAGCGACUUCCUGGACCAAUACUGACGCUCAUGUGCGAAAGCGUGGGGAGCAAACAGG